GAGAGAGAAAACAAAAAGUCAGUAAAACUCCCCCCCCCCCCACCCCACUUCUUCUUCUUCUCACGAGACUCACCCUCAUCAUCUCACCAUGGAGCAUCAAGAAAUUCAUCCUCACUUCAUUGAUUCACAAUCUUGCAUGAUUACUUCUAAAAAAUACAAAUAAAUCAGCAACCUCUCUCCCUACUCCGUACCCUCCACGCAGCAGCAACAACAACAAUUGCCUUCAACCCAUUUUCUUCUCAACCUCAAAUUAAUCCCAAAUCUACCAUGCAAUUCACUUCUUAGGUUCCUAAGCUCAAGUGGAACAAGUGGGUUUGGUGGAAGAGUAGUAUUGUUGCAAGAGAAGGUCAGAAGCAAGGAUUAGAGAGCUGUUAAUGGGUCGGAAGAGUUGGAAGAGCUCAUAGCUAGCCUUUAAGUCUCUUGGGUGUUAUUGGCACUUUAAGCUAACUCAAAUACGGUCGUUGUGGUACCGGUUGCAUAAUUUUUCGACGAGCGAUGAGGUCGAUAAACAUUUUUGAAGUUGGAAGUCAGUAGCAGAGCUUGUGCAGAAAAAUCUGGUUUUUUGGUGUUUUAUGGACUACGGAUUUGCAUUUUGAGCGGCACAAACGGAUGAUUAUAAGCAUGCGAAACAGUUCGGAAUCUCUAUCAAACUCAGAUAGUCAGGUUUACUAGAGCAAGAACCAGGUGGGAACUGAUGGUCGAGAUUGAGCUUGGAUUAUCCGAUGAGAAGAUUUGUCUUCUUCCUUGUUUUUGUAUUAAUCUGUUGUUUCCAUUAGUUUCCUUCCGUUGUGAAUUUUUGUAAUUAGAAGCCAUUCUGUAAUUUAAUGUACUCGGAUUCAAUGAUGUAAAUUCUGACUAAAUAUUCUAGACAUUUUAGUUGGGGUGUUAUAUUGAUUGUAGUCCUUAAAAAUAUAUUUCUUCGACUUUAUUUUAUAUAUAGGGUGGUACUGGUAGUCUCUUUGUUGCU